ACCAGAGUCUCGUCAUUUAUAGCAGCACGGCUGUCCGCGCUCGUCUGAGUCACUUCGUGGGAACCGUUCACAGCACAAUAGCGGCGGAGCAUUGGCGCUCUGGGUGCCGUGGCUCGUGUUUGUGUUGGCGGAUCUGGCUGUGAUUAUUGGGGGAGUCAGACAGAACACAGCUAUGAGAUCUCCUCCAACCCUCACAUCCAUCACGACACACAGCGCUGGACAGAGACGGGGAAGGGGAAAACUCUCAACAAGGAUCAUAGUACAAUCGUGAUGUGUUUGGACGGUAACAUGUUGCACCCGUGAUCUUUCGAGAAUCGAGAGGUUCAGGCUAACGUUACCAUGACUGCCCGAUGAAUUAAUUCUGCUCUCCAGGACAUCAACACUGCUGAGGGUCAGACCCGCCAACAGAACUCCACCCUGGGCACGGUGAGAGCGGCGGACCCCUGGAGCCACACAAACACCAUCAGAUCCACCAGUCGGGCCCACAGCCCAAACACAGCCCGACUCUGACAGCAACGGCUCUGCUGGAACCGCAUGGUUUGGUUCUCCUUCUACAUUUGAUCAGGCCUCUGAAGAACAGCAGGCCCAGCGAGAGCCCAGAGCUCCCCCGUACGACCGUUGGUCCGUUGUUGGCCGGAACACGCGAUUUGCGACUGAUUACGACCAGAGACCCCGUUUGAUGGCAUCUGAAGCUAAAGCAAAAUCAGAAACAUUAUCUCAAGGAGGACUUUCUGUCGAAGAACCCCCUCUUACCCUGGAGAGAGAGAGAAGCCAAGAGAGAGAAGCCAAGAAAUGACUGACGGGAAAAAAAGAAGGGGAUCCUGUGGACAAACUUCUAAUUUAAUUCUGGCCACUCAUGCCUGUGAAACAGACACAUGAAGAAUCCCCAGAACAUAAAUAAUUUCACCUGUUUUGGCAUGACUGUGCCCCAGUGCACAAAGCAAGGUCCAUAAAGACAUGGUUGGAUGAUUUUGGUGGGGAAGAACUUGUCUGGCCCACACAGAGCCCUGACCUCAACCUCGCCGAACACCUUUGGGAUCAUCUGGAAUGGAAAUUGUGAGCCAGGCCUUCUCAUCCAACAUCAGAGAACUGACCUCACAAGUGCUCUACUGGAUGAAUGGACAAAACUUCCCACAGAAACGCUCCAAAAUCUUGUGGAAAGCCUUCCCAGAAAAGUGAAAUCAAUAAAAGGGGGAACAACUCCUUAUUAAUGUCUAUGUACUCAGAAUAAAAUGUCAUUAAAGUCCCUGUUGGCAUAAUAGUCAGGAGUCCCAUUACUAUUGCCAAGUGUAUUAUAAGGACCGAGAGACAGAAGUAAAUGGACUAAACAUAAUUAAUCUUCAGAACGUGAAGUAUUUUAUUUGGAGGCUGUGGAAGUUUUCUAUCUAGCAUUAUCUAAAAGUACAUUUACACAGUUCAUUUUGAGAAAAUGUCUGAAUAUGUUGCUUAUUCAACCCUAU